rnacentral:rRNA from 1 species
CCUACGGGUGGCUGCAGUGGGGAAUAUUGGGCAAUGGGCGAAAGCCUGACCCAGCAACGCCGCGUGAAGGAAGAAGGCUUUCGGGUUGUAAACUUCUUUUGACAGGGAAGAGCAGAAGACGGUACCUGUCGAAUAAGCCACGGCUAACUACGUGCCAGCAGCCGCGGUAAUACGUAGGUGGCAAGCGUUGUCCGGAUUUACUGGGUGUAAAUGGCGUGUAGUCGGGCUGACAAAUCAGGUGUGAAAUCCGGGGGCUCAACCCCCGGAUUGCAUUUGAUACUGGUGGACUUGAGUAUGGGAGAGGCAAGCGGAAUUCCUGGUGUAGCGGUGAAAGGCGUAGAUAUAAGGAGGAACACCAGUGGCGAAGGCGGCCUGCUGGGCGACAACUGACGGUGAGGCGCGAAAGCGUGGGGAGCAAACAGGAUUAGAUACCCGUGUAGUC